CAAUAGCGUAUAUUAAAGUUGUUGCGGUUAAAAAGCUCGUAGUUGGAUUUCUGCCGAGGACGACCGGUCCGCCCUCUGGGUGUGUAUCUGGUUUGGCCUGGGCAUCUUCUUGGAGAACGUAGCUGCACUUGACUGUGUGGUGCGGUGUCCAGGACUUUUACUUUGAGGAAAUUAGAGUGUUCACGGCAGGCAAUCGCCUUGAAUAUAUUAGCAUGGAAUAAUAACAUAGGAUCUUUGUCCUAUUUUGUUGGUUUCUAGGGCUGAGAUAAUGAUUAAUAGGGAUAAUUGGGGGCAUCUGUAUCAACGCGUCAGAGGUGGAAUUCUUGGAUUGCGUUGCGACAAACUACUGCGAAAGCAUUUGCCAAGGAUGUUUUCAUUAA
rnacentral:rRNA from 1 species